GUCCCUGUAGUGCAAUGGAUAGCAAGUUGAACUUCUAAUCUAAGGGACAUGGGUUCGUUUCCCAACUGGGAUG